UAACGCUUAACGGGCUGUCUUGACCUUGCGCGCAAUGAAGGACAGAAGAAACAGAGGUUGCCGCAGACGGGCAGAACCCGCCUUGACAUUACCCCCAUUAUCUAAGGAAAUCCAAAGCCUCUACAAUCAAUCCAAAUAAGCGAAAUUAUAGUUUCGACAAAAUUUAGUAGAUGUGAUCACGAUCUAGAAUAGCUUGAGAAAAUAGCCAAUUGGGGGG
rnacentral:misc_RNA from 1 species